GACGAACGCUGGCGGCGUGCCUAAUACAUGCAAGUAGGACGCAGUUGCGAACGGGUGAGUAACGCGUACGUAACUGCCUCUUAGAGGGGGAUAACUAUUGGAAACGAUAGCUAAUACCGCAUACUAGUAGAUGGACCUGCGUUGUAUUAGCUAGUAGGUAGGGUAAUGGCCUACCUAGGCAACGAUACAUAGCCGACCUGAGAGUGGGAUCGGCCCCACUGGGACUGAGAAACGGCCCAGAAUCCUACGGGAGGCAGCAAUAGGGAAUCUUCGGAAAUUGGGGGAAACCUGACCGAGCAACGGCGCGUGAGUGAAGAAGGUUUUCGGAUCGUAAAGCUCUGUUGUUAAGGAAGCGGUACUUAACCAGAAAGGGACGGCUAACUCCGUGCCAGCAGCCGCGGUAAUUC
rnacentral:rRNA from 1 species